rnacentral:rRNA from 1 species
AUUGAACGCUGGCGGCAGGCUUAACACAUGCAAGUCGAGCGAGCGGCGGACGGGUGAGUAAUGUCUGGGAAACUGCCUGAUGGAGGGGGAUAACUACUGGAAACGGUAGCUACUACCGCAUACCAUCAGAUGUGCCCUGAUGGGAUUAGCUAGUAGGUGGGGUAAUGGCUAACCUAGGCGACGAUCCCUAGCUGGUCUGCGAGGAUGACCAGCCACAAUGGAAAUGAGACACGGGCCAGACUCCGACGGGAGGCAGCAGUGGGGAAUAUUGCACAAUGGGGGAAAGCCUGAGGCAGCCAUGCCGCGUGUGUGAAGAAGGCCUUCGGGUUGUAAAGCACUUUCAGCGAGGAGGCGUUACUCGCAGAAGAAGCACCGGCUAACUCCGUGCCAGGAGCCGCGGUAAGUC